rnacentral:lncRNA from 1 species
UUUUAGUGUAGUUUUUGUUUUGGGCCUUUGGCUCCGCAAUUGAAGUCAUAACCUUUACCCAUUGGCUAUAUGUGCAACUUCAUUACUACAAACCCAAAUAACUUUUUUUCGUUUUUCUUAUUACACAAUCGAGACACCUUUAACUACUUGAGCUACAAUCCUCGUAAAAUGAUGACUUUUCGUUGGACCCAAAAAGAAAUAAACUCUCAUUUUCAUUGGGUUUUAGUACUAGAUAUGCCGACAUGUUUU